rnacentral:rRNA from 1 species
AUGGAGUACGUAGUUAGGAAGCGUCCAAGGUCCAACCAAAUCAAGCACACGCAACACAAACACAUGGACGACGCGGCGGCGGAGGCCGAAGCGCUGCGGCUCCGGCUGGCCGCAAUCGCCAGGAAGUGGCUGGAGGACCCCCGCGCGGACUACGCCGGCAACGUCACCGACGCGGCCAGCCAAAAGCGCCACGCGCUCAACUCGCUGGUGCUGGGCGGCGCACGCAUCUCCCUCUCCGAGCACGGCCGCGUCGUCUGCUCGUUCCACGUGCCGCCGCCGCUCACCGUAAGUACGCACAGCUCAUGGCUAAUUGCUCGCGCGUCCGGAUUGGAGAUCUCAAUUCGCACCGCGGCGUGUCUUUGUCUGUUCCUGCUUUCCGCUCGCGUGCAGGACUCGGACGGGACGUGGCACGCGGGGGCGCUGGCGGCGGCGGUGGACAACAUGUGCUCGGCGGUGGUCUUCACGGUGGUGGGCGCGCCCACGGCCACCGUCCACUACGGCCUGUCCUACUUCUCGCCCGUCGCGUGCAACGAGGAGGUUCAAUUGGACGGGCGGGUGGUGGGCCGGAAGGGGAAGCUGACGGCCGCUGUCGUGCGGGUGCGGAAGAUGGGAUCCGGCGAGCUGGUGGCGAUAGGGAGGCAGUGGAUGACCCCUGCCUGGCCAACAAAGAGCAACAAAAGUAGGAGCAGCCUCUGA